UUCUGUCUACCAUCAAAAUCUCCAAGCAGUGGGCUUCAUAUGGAGUUCUUCUGACAGCAUUCAAGAACCAUGUCUGUUUCCAAAUAGUUAAAGAAAGCCCUGUCUAUUGGGAGUGAUUGUUAGAACUCAGAAGUCAAGACCAUGGUGCCAAAUUGAAUUCUGGCUAACUUUGAAAUCCAGCAUUUCAGCUCCAGCUGUUUCCCCACCAGUGCUUCAGGUCCUCUUCUGUACUGAUGCUUUUCUUCAGAGUCACAGCAUUACCUGCAGCCUGCGGAGAGUUCCUCAGCAGCAGU
rnacentral:lncRNA from 1 species